rnacentral:lncRNA from 1 species
CUGAGGACAACACUUUAUGCACAGAUGCUGAAUCUGGAACUAGAUUGUCCUCCCUGGGUACCAGGCACACAAGCAUUGCUGGAUCAAAGACUGGCAGCCAAGCUUUCCUAGGACUGCAAGCAGCGCGGCACAAGAUACAUAUUUCCCUGUCUCUACACGGCCCUUUUAUUUGGUCUAGAUACACAUCUGUAAGUAUUUUACCCUCUCAUAUAUUCAUAUAUACUGUAAGUCAAAGGAGCUUAAGUUUUCACUGCUUGCAUUGCCUUGCAAUCACUGUUUCAUGGGGUGCUUCCGAUGUGCUGCAUCUCAGCAGCCUCAGGCCUUCUCCAAGUCACUGCUCUGACCUUCCCAGCAAGCAGGAACUGAAACUGUAG